CAGCACCUCAAGUGGUCAGGAUGAUUAUUGAGCCUAAAGCGUCCGUAGCCGGACUAGUAAACCCUUGGGUAAAUUGGGCAGCUUAACUGUCCGAAUUCCGAGGGGACUGCUAGUCUUGGGACCGGGAGAGGUCAGAGGUACUCCAGGGGUAGGGGCUAAAUCCGAUAUGGUUUUGUGCCAGUCGGUUAGCAUUCCUGUAAUCCUUGGGGGACCACCAGUGGCGAAGGCGUCUGACUAGAACGGAUCCGACGGUAAGGGACGAAACCCUGGGGCGCGAACCGGAUUAGAUACCCGAGUAGUCC
rnacentral:rRNA from 1 species